rnacentral:rRNA from 1 species
AGCGAACGCUGGCGGCGUGCCUAACACAUGCAAGUCGAGCGAGAAAGGGGUGGCAACACCCUGAGUAAAGCGGCGAACGGGUGAGUAACGCGUGGGUAAUCUACCUUCCAGUCUGGGAUAACUUCCCGAAAGGGAGGCUAAUACCGGAUGAUGUCCUCAUGGGGCAUCCUAAGGGGAGCAAAGGGGGCGCCCGCAAGGAGCUCUCGCUGGAGGAGGAACCUGCGUCCGAUUAGCUAGUUGGUGGGGUAAUGGCUCACCAAGGCGACGAUCGGUAGCCGGCCUGAGAGGGUGACCGGCCACACUGGGACUGAGCCCCGGCCCAGACUCCUACGGGAGGCAGCAGUGGGGAAUCUUGCGCAAUGGGCGAAAGCCUGACGCAGCGACGCCGCGUGGGGGACGAAGGCCUUCGGGUUGUAAACCCCUGUCGGGCGGAACGAAUCCCCCGAGGACGAAUACUCCUCGGGGUUGACGGUACCGCCGGAGGAAGCCCCGGCUAACUACGUGCCAGCCGCCGCCGUAACAC